GCCCCGCAGGCCGCUGAACCAAAGGCCUAGAUGGGGAGGACUAGGAGAGGGAGGGGGCUCCCAGCUGCCCCCACAUCUGCCCUGGGGACUCCCCACACUCCAGGGCAGAUCUUUCUUCUUGUCUGUGGUGAGGAAGGAGUCUUGACCAUAGAGUCCUCUCCCUGCCUCUAUCCCAUUCUUUUUACAUUCAACAAAACUAAUCUAAAAAAGAACGAAAAAGGGAGAAUGGGGCAAGGGAUCUCAGGCUGCCCUUCUCUCCUCCAUGCUGCCUCCCCUAGCUCCCAGCCUGAAUUCUGUCUGUCUGGCUGUCAUCUGAGUGUCCACCUACAUUCUGCUGCCACCAGUCACCAAAGCCCCCUCCCAGUGAGGGGUGGAAGGGAUCCCUGGGGCCUGGAAUUUGGCCCCAAACCAGAGAAUGUACCUUAAGAGGGAGGGCUAGUGUGGGGGAGGGCAGCUUCCCCAGCCUUAAGAGAUCCUCUCAGCCCAGUGACUGUCCCCAAACCCAAGUCUCCUGGCAGGAACUAAAACCUCAGCCCCACGUUCUCACACCAUGCGGAAUCUCAUGGGGGUCGGGGAUCCCCUGAAGAAGUAGAAAUGGGGACAAGAUGUGGCCCUGGUGCUGUAGGCUACAUCCCGAUACUUAUAAAUUCCCCCCCUACCCCAGCCCCACAGCUGCUGGAGAGAAAUUCCAAGAGGCAGCCCUCCCUCACCAUCCCAUAAAAGACCUGGCUGGUUAGCGUCCAGCUCAGGGAGAAGGGCGCUGGUGCCCAACCUCGCUGGUCCCUCUCCCGGAGGCCCCUGUAGAGGGCCACGUCCAUAAAUUUUCUUAUGGAACUCUCCCACAUCCUCUUCCCCAACUUCAUUUGCUUCUCUCAACAACCUCAUCUGCAUUUUCUAUUUCUAUAUGAUACAGACUCUAUAUUGCUAUAUCUCUGUAUAUACUUUCCCCAGUCCUGUCUGUCUUCACCCCAUCCCCUCUUGUCUCUGAGAACCAUUCUCCCACCCCAACUUCUACCUUCUGUGUUUCUGCCCCCUUCCUGGUCUCUGAAUGCCUUCGCCUGUAUAAAGAGUUGGACUCUCUCCCCUGGUGUCUGUACUGUGUACACACAUCCCUCUGAGAAGCACAAGGAGACGACACGCGCAUUGUAACCUUUGCACUGUCUCAGUGGCGACAAAGGAAGCUGUGAAUCACAAGCUCUGCCUCUUUCUGGCCUCACCCUCUCCGCGAACCUGGGCACCCUCAGCUCUCCCUGCAGCCUUAACAUUCCCUUCCCCUGCUCCUCCUAUCCCGCUGCCCUUUGCCCAGCUGACCGUGGCAUCCCCAGGGAAGGGGUUGCUAUAGAAUAGCCCCUACCCAGGGGAUGGAGGUCUGCUCUGAACACUAAGCCAAGCGUGUCAGAGACGGAAGGGAGCUGGGGACUGGCGACUCCUGAAGCUGGGGCAGUGGGAUGCUGACAGGCAGAAGCUGAGGUUCUCAGUCAGUGGCCUUUCCUCCUUCUGGGUGCCCAGCCACCUCUUCUCACCUGAUUCCCAAGCCCACCACUUUUAUUUUCUGGUGAGGUGGGCUUGGGAGGAAAGAGAGGCCCUAGAGGAGGAGUUGAAAGCUCUGCUGUUCUGUCCCUCCCUGUCUUAAUGAGAGACAAGUGAGGUGGAGGGCCACCCCCCUCCCUCCACCAGACACUCCUCCCAGGCCUGAGCCCCAACCCCUCUCCAGGCCUUCUUUCCCCAGAUGUGUCUUGGUCUCCAAUCCCAGAUCAGGACCUAUGGGCAGGUCACCUGUGCAUUGGCCUGGAGCUGGAGAGUAUGGCUAUCGGAUCUUUGGAAACUCUUGAUUCCUAGGAGUUUUUCAGAGAUCAUACCUCCCCAGAGGGAAGCAGGAAUGAGGCCAAAAAGUGUGCACUGGAGAGGGGAACAGCAGGCAGGGCUCUGGGUGACGCAUGCCUCUGGUCUAAUAAACUGGGUUUCAACCAUC